rnacentral:rRNA from 1 species
AGUGAACGCUGGCGGUAGGCCUAACACAUGCAAGUCGAACGGCAGCACAGUAAGAGCUUGCUCUUACGGGUGGCGAGUGGCGGACGGGUGAGGAAUACAUCGGAAUCUACUUUUUCGUGGGGGAUAACGUAGGGAAACUUACGCUAAUACCGCAUACGACCUACGGGUGAAAGCAGGGGAUCUUCGGACCUUGCGCGAUUGAAUGAGCCGAUGUCGGAUUAGCUAGUUGGCGGGGUAAAGGCCCACCAAGGCGACGAUCCGUAGCUGGUCUGAGAGGAUGACAGGCAAAAUUGGAAUUAGGAAAGGGCCAAAAUCCUAAGGGAAGGAAGAAGGGGGGAAAAUUGGACAAGGGGGGAAGGCCUGAUCCAGCCAUACGGGGUGGGGGAAGAAGGCCUUCGGGUUGUAAAGCCCUUUUGUGGGGAAAAAAAAGAAGAAGGUUAAAACCCCGCUGUUCUGACGGUACCAAAAGAAUAAGCACCGGCUAACCUCGU